UUCUGUGCCGGAGUUAACGCANUAAGUACCCCGCCUGGGGAGUACGACCGCAAGGUUGAAACUCAAAGGAAUUGACGGGGGCCCGCACAAGCGGUGGAGUAUGUGGUUUAAUUCGACGCACCGCGAAAAACCUUACCAGGUCUUGACAUUGAUGGACAGAACUAAAGAUAGUUCCUCUUCUUCGGAAGCCAGAAAACAGGUGGUGCACGGUUGUCGUCAGCUCGUGUCGUGAGAUGUUGGGUUAAGUCCCGCAACGAGCGCAACCCCUAUCUUAUGUUGCCAGCACUUUGGGUGGGGACUCAUGAGAGACUGCCGCANACAAUGCGGAGGAAGGGGGGGAUGACGUCAAAUCAUCAUGCCCCUUAUGACCUGGGCUACACACGUACUACAAUGGGAGUUAAUANACGGAAGCGAGAUCGCGAGAUGGAGCAAACCCGAAAAACACUCUCUCAGUUCGGAUCGUAGGCUGCAACUCGCCUACNUGAAGUCGGAAUCGCUAGUAAUCGCAGGUCAGCAUACUGCGGUGAAUA
rnacentral:rRNA from 1 species